rnacentral:rRNA from 1 species
AUGGAGUCGGACACAUGCGACCUCAGCGAAGGCAUGUCGACGGAGCGCGCGUACGAGGCGGAGCCGGUGCCGUCGCUGUCGGAGACCAUCACGGCGCGGUCGCUGGCGGUGAGCUUCGUCCUGGGCGUGACGCUCACCGUGGUGGCCAUGAAGAUCAGCCUCAACUCGGGGUUCCUCCCGUCGCUCAGCAUCCCGGCGUGCCUCCUGGGCUUCUACCUCUCGCGCGUGCUCAUCCGGCUGCUGGAGUACAUGGACGUCUCCCACCUCCCCUUCACCCGCCAGGAGAACACUGUGAUCCAGACCUGCGUCGCCGCCUGCACCACCAUCGCCUUCAGCGGCGGCUUCGGCACCUUCCUCCUGGCCAUGGGCCGGAAGUCGGCCGGCGACGACAGCGUCAGGUACGACGUCAACGUGGAGGAGCCGAGCAUCCCCCGCAUGAUCGCCUUCCUCUACCUCGUCAGCUUCGCCGGCAUCUUCAUCAUCAUGCCGUUCCGGAAGGUGAUGAUCAUCCGGCACCAGCUGACGUUCCCCAGCGGCACGGCCACGGCGCACCUCAUCAACAGCUUCAACACGCCGCACGGCGCCACCCAGGCCAAGCUGCAGGUGUCCAUGCUGUUCAAGUCGCUCGCGGGCUCCCUGGCCUGGUCCGUCUUCCAGUGGUUCUUCUCCGCCGGGAAGGACUGCGGCUUCAAGACCUUCCCCACCUUCGGCAUGGAGGCCUACAGGCAGGGCUUCUUCUUCGACUUCGGCAUGACCAACGUCGGCAUCGGCAUGAUCUGCCCCUACGCGAUCACCCUCUCCAUGCUCGUCGGGUCCGCCGUGUCCUGGGGCUUCCUCUGGCCCUACAUCGAGACCAAGGAGGGGGACUGGUACCCCGCCGACCUCGGCAGCGGCAGCCUCAGCGGCAUCAAGGGCUACAAGGUGUUCAUCGGCGUCUCCAUGAUCCUCGCCGACGGCCUCUUCAACUUCCUCUCCAUCAUGUUCCGGACGUCGCGCACCAUGACCAAGCGCCGCAAGCAGCCCAUGUCAUCCGCCGGCGGCAACGUGAACCAGCCGUUCCAGCACCUCAUCGGCGAAGGCCCGGACAUGGAGCAGCAGAAGACGGCCAAGAGCUUCGACGAACGCCGCAGGGCGCAGGUCUUCCUCAGGGACAGCAUACCCAACAUGGUCACCAUCGGCGUCUACAUCCUCCUCGCCGCCCUCUCCACCGCCGCCGUCCCGAUACUAUACCGGCAGCUGCACUACUACCACGUCGCGCUCGUCUACCUCAUGGCGCCCCUCUUCGCCUUCUGCAACGUCUACGGCUUCGGCCUCACUGACAUGAACCUGUCCAGCACCUACGCCAAGAUCGCCAUGCUGCUCUUCGGUUCGUGGGUCGGGCUCAAGGACGGCGGCGUGGUUGCCGGCCUCGUCGCCUGCGGGAUCAUGAUGUGCACGCUCUCCAACGGCGGCGACGUCAUGCAGGACCUCAAGACGGGGUACCUCACCCUCACCUCGCCGCGCGCCGUGCUCAUCAGCGAGCUCAUCGGCACGGCGUUCGGCUGCCUCAUCAACCCCACCGUCUUCUGGGUGUUCUACAAGGUGUACAAGACGGGCGGGGCCAACGGCGGCGACAUCCCCGACGUGCCCUACGCCAGGGUGUACCGCGGCAUGGCCAUGCUGAGCGUCGGCCAGGAAGGGCUGCCCAGGCACAGCAUGCUCCUCGCCAAGAUCUUCUUCAUGCUCGCGCUGGCCCUGUGCAUGCUCCGGGAGCUGGCUAGCCGCUGGGAGUGGCGCGUGCAGGCGUACCUCCCGAGCACCGUCGCCAUGGCCGUGGCCUUCUUCGUGCCGCCGGACAUGGCCAUCGGCAUGUGCGUCGGGAGCCUGGUGCUGUGGCUGUGGGAGCGCACGGACCCUGUUGAGGAGCGGAUGCUGUCGUCGCCGGUGGCGUCCGGGCUCAUCUGCGGGGACGGGCUCGGCUCGCUCGUGUCGUCGCUGCUCACGCUCACCAAGGCCACGGCGCCCAUCUGCAUCAAGUUCUUGUCCCGAGGCGACAACGAGAAGUUGGAUGCAUUCUUGGCAAAGAUGCCCGCGACGUAG